rnacentral:rRNA from 1 species
AGAAGACACAGGUAUGCCUCAGUAACGGCGAGUGAAGCGGCAAAAGCUCAAAUUUGGAAUCUCAGUCUUUCAGGCUGCGAGUUGUAAUUUGAAGACGUAUUUUGAAGUAAGCACAUGUCGAAGUUCCUUGGAACAGGACGUCACAGAGGGUGAGAAUCCCGUGCGAUGUGUUCACUGCUUCAUGUAAAAUGCAGUCGAAGAGUCGAGUUGUUUGGGAAUGCAGCUCUAAGUGGGUGGUAAAUUCCAUCUAAAGCUAAAUAUUGGCGAGAGACCGAUAGCGAACAAGUACAGUGAUGGAAAGAUGAAAAGAACUUUGAAAAGAGAGUGAAAAAGUACGUGAAAUUGUUGAAAGGGAAGGGCUUGAGAUUAGACUCGGGCAACCGGGCCAGCAUGGGGUGGGGGAGUAGGAUAACCCUGCAGGAAAGUGGCUUCGCUUCGGUGGAGUGUUAUAGCCUGUAGCUAUACUGCUACCCUCGCCCGAGGACUGCGGAAACAAGGAUGCUGGCAUAAUGAUCUUAAGCCGCCCGUCUUGAAACACGGACCAAGGAGUCUAACGUCUAUGCGAGUGUUUGGG